rnacentral:misc_RNA from 1 species
UGUGGGAGCGAGCCUGCUCGCGAUAGCGUUAUGAUAGUCACCAUGGAUACCGACUGAUACACCGCCAUCGCGAGCAGGCUCGCUCCCACA